rnacentral:rRNA from 1 species
AAUACAACUUUCGCAACGGAUCUCUUGGCUCUCGCAUCGAUGAAAAAAGCAGCGAAAUGCGAUAAGUAAAUGUGAAUUGCAGAAUUCACUGAAUCAUCAAAUCUUUUAACACUUGCGCUCUUGGGUAUUUCGAGGGAGCAUGCUGUUUUGAGGUGUCAUG